UACGGAGGGUGCAAGCGUUAAUCGGAAUUACUGGGCGUAAAGCGUGCGCAGGCGGUUUGUUAAGUCUGUUGUGAAAUCCCCGAGCUCAACUUGGGAAUUGCAAUGGAUACUGGCAGGCUGGAGUAUGGUAGAGGAAGGUGGAAUUCCCGGUGUAGCAGUGAAAUGCGCAGAUAUCGGGAGGAACACCGGUGGCGAAGGCAGAUCUCUGGGCCGUAACUGACGCUGAGGAGCGAAAGCAUGGGUAGCGAACAGG
rnacentral:rRNA from 1 species